rnacentral:rRNA from 1 species
GUCCAGACUCCUACGGGAGGCAGCAGUGAGGAAUAUUGGUCAAUGGGCUUACGCCUGAACCAGCCAAGUCGCGUGAGGGAAGACUGCCCUAUGGGUUGUAAACCUCUUUUGUCAGGGAGCAAUUGGCGCUACGUGUAGCGUUAUCGAGAGUACCCGUAGAACAAGCAUCGGCUAACUCCGUGCCAGCAGCCGCGGUAAUACAGAGGAUGCGAGCGUUAUCCGGAUUUAUUGGGUUUAAAGGGUGCGCAGGCGGCGCGGCGAGCCGGCGGUGAAAUCGCGGGGCUCAACCCCGCCCAGCCGUCGGAACUGCCGGGCUAGAGUGGGCGAGAAGUGCGCGGAAUGCGUGGUGUAGCGGUGAAAUGCAUAGAUAUCACGCAGAACUCCGAUUGCGAAGGCAGCAUACCGGCGCCCAACUGACGCUGAAGCACGAAAGCGUGGGUAUCGAACAGGAUUAGAUACCCUCGUA